rnacentral:rRNA from 1 species
UACGUAGGGCGCAAGCGUUGUCCGGAAUUAUUGGGCGUAAAGAGCUCGUAGGCGGCUUGUCACGUCGGAUGUGAAAGCCCGGGGCUUAACCCCGGGUCUGCACUCGAUACGGGCUAGCUAGAGUGUGGUAGGGGAGAUCGGAAUUCCUGGUGUAGCGGUGAAAUGCGCAGAUAUCAGGAGGAACACCGGUGGCGAAGGCGGAUCUCUGGGCCAUUACUGACGCUGAGGAGCGAAAGCGUGGGGAGCGAACAGG